UUUUUUUUUUUUUUUUUUUGUUUUUUGUUUUUUGUUUUUUUUUUUUUUUCUCUAUCAUUGAUUUUGCUAUAAGUGUAUUUAAGACUCACUUGGUAUCUUUUUGUCUCUACUUGGGGGUAGCAGUGCUAUUGUUACUAGAAGAGCUAGGUGUUGUAUUAGUGAUUCCUUUGUUGUAUGUGUCCUUGCAAUUGAAAGUAUUGCAAUGGUUCUUAGUGUCUUUGAUAGUUGGUAGUUGACUUUUCUUCUAGUUGAUUGUUGAAGUAGUGCUUGAGAUCAAUAAUUUAUUAUAUUUUCUCCAAUAUUAGAUUUGUGUGGUGGUAUGUAAUUAAUUUUUCUUAAAAAAUUUAUUUGAGUUUAAUUAGAAUUUUUUACAAUUUUACAACCUUUAAUUUGUCCUAAGAGUGUGACUUAACUUUGAUUAGUUAUAUUAAUCAUGCAAGAAGAAGAUUUAGUGAUACUUAGUCUUGAUUUUUCUAUAAUUCUUAUAAUCAUGAAAUUUAAGCCACUAUUCCUAUCUACUAUUAUAUAAGAUAUGAUUUUAUCUACAAUAGAGACUUCAAUGUUGAUUGCCUUGACUUCUUGUAUUCUUUGAAUAAUUCACAUAUGCACUACUAUUUUAGCCUUAGAACUUUAAUGUUUCUUGAUAGAAAUUCUAAUCUUAAAGGUUUUUUUUAUUAUUGGAAAAAUCUCCAAUAAUUGAGUAAUUAUAAUAUUAGCCUUAAUUGUCUUCAAAUCUAUCUAUAAUUCAUGAGGCAAUGGCUUUUUUUUAUUCUUAGAUUUUAAUAAAAGAAUGGAUUUAAGAAUUGGAAUUUGAAGCCUUUUUCUACUAUUUUUUAGAAAGAAUCUUUUUUAUGUGGAUACCUUCAUAUUUUUUGAUAAUAUAUUUGGCAAGGAUUUUGGAUCUUAAGAUAAUUUUUUAAAAAUUCUAAUGUUAGCCAUUGCCUCUUUAGUGACUUCAUUGAGGGCUAAGAAAUUGAGAGAGUUUUUAAAAAUGCUCUCACUCUCAAUUGAGGUAAGAAAGAAAAGACUAAUAUACCUGAACUUAGUCAUAACUCUUGCGGUUGAUAUAUUAGGUUGUUCUUUUUUCUUAUGAGAUGACUUCUCAUUAAAGAUGUAAUUAGUAUGAAAAAAUAAAGGUUGGUUUUUUUUAAGUUUUAGAUUUUUUCUUUUAUUAAAUAUUUCUAAAUACCUUAUAUUUUAUAAACCUUAGCAAUUAUUUUGUUGGCUAUACUGAUUUUGCCCAAAUUCAAGAAAAUAUAUCUCUUCUUUGUAUUUAAAUUCAAUAGAGGAUGUUGGUUUCAAAAAUUAUUCUAAUAAUUAUAAAGAAUGUUAGGUGGUUUUAAUUUAUUAUUAGAUCUAGGUUUAUUUAUUUAUUUAAAUAUUAGCUUGGACUUAUUGUUAGUAAUUACCUUGUAAAAAGUUUAAAGAAACUACCUUAUUAAGUUACCUAAAGGCCUCAAUAGAAUACUUAUCUCCAUAAUUUCUAUAUAUAACUUGAUUUUUAAUUCAACAACUACUAAGUGGGUGUCUUUUACCACAAAGAUAGUAUAUUUCUAAUCUUUAUCUUGGUUGUUUUUUAUAACCUUGGUACAAUAUUCAUAGCUAUGUGAAUAAAUAGAUAAUUUUUUAAUUAGAAUUUUUUGUAAUUCUACACCUACUAAUUUUUUCUAAGUUUGUGUCUUGACUUUGAUUAGUUAUGUUAAUUAUGUAAGAAGAAAGUCCAAUAAUACUUAGUCCUAAUUUUUUUUAUAGUUCUUACUAGAAUGGUAUUUAAGCCACUAUCUUCAUCUACAAUUGUAUAAGGUAUAAUUUUAUCUAUAAUAAAAACUUCUAUAUUAAUUGCCUUGACUUCUUGUAUCUUCUAAAUAAUUCUUAUGUGAAUUGUUAUUUUAGCCUUAGACAUAUAACAUCUCUUAAUAGACAUUUUAAUCUUAACGGUUUUUUUUAUUGUCAAAAAAAUCUCUAAUAAUUGAAUAAUUGUGAUAUAAAUCUUAUUAUUAUUUUUAAAUCCAAAUAUAAGUCAUAAGAUAAUAAUUUAUUUUUAUUUUUGGAUUAUAAUAAAAAAUUAGAGUCAAGAAUUAGAAUCCAUCUAUUUCUAUCUUUUAACUUUAAUUAGAGCUUUUUGUCCUACCUUUGGUCUAAAUUUAUCACAAACAUAUGUAUUUAUUUAAUAAUUACCUAUAUGAUUAGAUAGAAGUACAUAAAUAUAGAUUAAUUUAAUAAUAUCUUCUACAAAAACUUCUUAAAAGCUUUAUAGAUGGAAUUUUGACUUUACAUGUGUUUAUAGUUGAUUGAUAGGAUAGAAACUUAUUCAAUAAGUUAUUAUUUGUGCCAAACAUAUUAGUAGCUUGUCAAAUAAGUUAACUAUAUGGCGCUUAUAUAAAAAACUUAUCUUAUAUAUAUAUAUAUAUAUAUAUAUAUAUAUAUAUAUAUCUAUAUAUAUAUCUAAUAAAGUCAACAUAUCUUAGAGGUCUUAUAGAAUAUUGCCACGUAAUUUAUAGUUAAAUAGUAUAUAUGGAGGCAAGAAUGAAACCUUCUUCAUUCUUGUCAAUACCUUUUUAGUCCUUAGUUUUCUUUCAAGACUUUCCAAUCUUUUUGUCUUUGGCAAUAGUUAUUUUAGUUUAAUAUUUUAUCAUCUUUGAGUGAUUCUUUAAUUUUUUUUGAGUGACAUAAGAGUAUAUUGAUCUUUUAGGUCUUUGAGGUUCAUGUUCUUAACAAAAUCCUAAAUCCUAGAUUCUAAAGAUAUCUAAAUAAUUAUUAGGAUUUUAAAAUUAUCAUAGGAAUUUGAUUAAGAUUUAUUUAGAAUUUCAUUAGAUUAUUUUAAAAUUUGUUUAAGAUUUCAUUAAAAAAAUUAUUAGGAUUUUAUUAGAAGGUGGUUAAAUUUUACUUAGGAUUAAUUUUGAAUUAUAUUAGAAUUUAUUAGGACUUAUUUAUUAGGAAUUUAUAAGGAAUUAUAUUAGAAUUUAGUAGAAAAAGUCAUCUUAUAUUUAUUAUGAUUUUUUAAUCUCUAUCUUUACUAAAAUUUUUAAUUUGAUAUAAAAGAUUAAUGUAAUAAUUUAAAACUUCAUGUGGUAUGACAAAAAAUCUUUAGUAUAUAGUUGGAUUGUAUAGAAUGUAUAUUGCAAAUCCAUAGACAUCUAAGAAUUAGAACUAAUUGAUCAAAAAUAAUUUGCUACAAUUCAAAUUUAAAUAUAAAUAAAUUAAUAAGGUAUAAUCUAAUAAAUAUUAUAUUAGUUAAUUUUAAUAAAUCAUAGUCAAGUUUUAUUUAGAUAACUAGUGAAACAAGACUAGACUAUCUUAAAAAUCCAAGAUCCUUCUAAUCCACAACAAUAUAAGGCCUCAAAAAAUAGGACAAAAUAGAUCAAAACAAAACUGAAUAGACUAAACAAAAUAGGAUAUGAAAGACAAAUUGAGCAAAUAGAAACAAAACAAAACAGAUCUGAACAGAAAGAUGCAAAACCAAACUUUACUAAGAGAAAGGGUCCAAAGCCAU
rnacentral:lncRNA from 1 species